rnacentral:rRNA from 1 species
AUUGAACGCUGGCGGCAUGCCUUACACAUGCAAGUCGAGCGGCAGCGCGGGGGCAACCCUGGCGGCGAGCGGCGAACGGGUGAGUAAUACAUCGGAACGUGUCCAGUAGCGGGGGAUAACCUGUCGAAAGAUAGGCUAAUACCGCAUACGAUCCACGGAUGAAAGCGGGGGACUCUCGGGCAACUGAGGGCCUCGCACUAUUGGAGCGGCCGAUGUCGGAUAGCUAGUUGGCGGGGUAAAAGCCCACCAAGGCGACGAUCCGUAGCUGGUCUGAGAGGACGACCAGCCACACUGGAACUGAGACACGGUCCAGACUCCUACGGGAGGCAGCAGUGGGAAUUUUGGACAAUGGGCGCAAGCCUGAUCCAG